AAAUCAAAAAUUACUAAAAUAUGAACCAAAUAUGUACUUAUUUACCGAAAAUGUAAAAUUAAUUUGGGCUUAUUUUAAUUAAAAUGAUAUAAAUCACAAGCAAUUUUUUUCAGAUUACAAAUCUCAUUUCAAUAAAAAUUUGUAUUUACAAUAAAAUUUGUUACCUAAUUAUUAAUAUAUUACUUACCCAAGUUAUACAUCUACAGCCACCUAACACAUUUUUACAAAUAUAAGUCUUCAUUUUGUAUUAUUAUCUUGUACUUAUGUUAAAAUUGAGAUAAAUGAGGCUGUAUUAAAGAAGUCCAAGGAGUGAUUAUAAAAAUAAAUAAAUCAGCAUU